rnacentral:lncRNA from 10 species
GGACCCCCAGGGAUCAGAGCACAGUGGGUGUGCUCUGGGCCUUCCUGCCUUUGCCGUGCUAUUAUUGGAGUGAGUCAGCUAAGUCAAACACUCACUGCUGAUGCUGAGGAGACCUAUGUUACCAAAGCACUUUAGGUUGGUUCUUGACUAGCUCUAAACUGAGUCCUCAGUGGCUGACAUGAGGAACCACCGUGAGAACAGCUGGUACUCAUGGACCAGUGGCAGCUGGAUGACCCGCAGUCGCCAUCCACUGAAUCCUUCCAGGAACACCUGCACGUGGAAGCAGGCAGAUGCUGACCCACCCACUAAGGCUGAGGCCAAAGAAAAUUCUCCGAUGACAAGGCUCUGCAGGUGCCAUACGGAGCGAGUGCUUUUCAGGCAGUUGGCGGAGCCCAAAGCAAGCUUCCCCCAGAGCAUCCGAAGGGGCCACUUGGCUGCGGUCGCCAUCGCGAGAACAACAGGAAACUGAGCAGGGGCUGCUGUCGUCCUGGGCAGGACAGCUCUCCAUUUCCCUUCAGGCCUGGCAUUGUUUUGCUGAUGGAAGAAAAGUGGAAUGGGGCGUGAUCACACUGCCGGCUCAGCAGCUGGAAAGCUCAUGUGUUUGCUUAAAUGUGCACAAGUUGAGGUCCCUCUGUGCUGCUGAUCCCCACCCCCUCUCACCACAGGGUGUUUUCUGAUCACCAAAUGUAUGUUGGUUAGAAGACUUGGCAGUUCUCUGGCCCCAGAGGUAGAGCUAGAAGUUGACGCAGAGUCUCAAGUGGCAACUCUGUUGUCUAUGCUGUCUGUUGGUGAUGAUGGGCCGGGCGUCCCAGGAGGAAGAUGACUUUCCAAGGUCCCUUUCUGAGGCGGGAUGGCGCAGGGGAGACACUGGCAAGGAGAAUGAGGGUUGGGGGAGCUCCAGGGCUCCUCUGCUCCUGAGUGUCAGUGGAGGGUGGACAUUGACCAGACCAAAGAGUCUUUGAAACAGGGUCAUGGGCAACCAUAACUGCAUUCCAAGAGGCCCAAAAGACGGAAGGCCCAGGAGACCCCCAAGAAUGAGUGUGUGAUGAGCAGCCAGGCCCUAAUCACCCAAGUCCUGGCUUUGAGAGGGGAGGGGUUGGGCACAUAGUAUUUAUCAGCAUUGUCAUUAGAUUAGAGCACUAGUUAUCCAGUCUCCAUAAGGUUAACAAUCUCUGGGGAGCUUUCUAUAAAAUGCUACCUCCCCCCCCGCAACUCCAAGGUUCCACGCCAGUCCAUCUGGAAAGGGGUUUGGGAAUCUGCAUUUUAACAACAUCCUGUGUGUUUCUGGUGUGGCGGUGAGUGGGUCACACUCUGAGAGACAAGGUCUUAGAGCAGCGGUUCUCAAACUCCAGCACCCUGAGGCCCCCUGCAGAGCACGUUCACCCCCAGAUGGCUAGACCCUUGUUAGUGUCUCUGAUUCAGCAGGUCUAGGGUGGGGCUCCAGAACCUGCGUCUCCAACAGGGUGUCAGGGGAGGCUUUGCUGCUCUUCCCAGCACCUCCUUUAAGAAUGACUCUUCUUUCUUGGAAAAAAAAUAUCAGUUUGGUCAUGUCAACGUCUCAAAGUCAGGGGAAACAGGCCUUUACCAUUUUCUAUCCCCCAGCCCAGCAGACUCAUCUCUGGCUGAUUAUGUUUGCCUUGAGAGUUUUUAAAAAGUUCUGUUGAUGUUUUCAUCUGGGUGAGGUGCCAGCUACAUUUCUAAAAGCCACCCUCCCCCAGGGGAUGCUAAGGUGCAGCUGGAGCAGAGAAUUCCUGUCCCACUGUGCCUGACACAGUGCAGGCAGCCAAGUUUAGUUUUUAUAUCAGUAUUUUUUGAGUGCCCACUGCAGGCUUUCAUUGAUAUUUAUUGAAUGCCUACUGUCUUCCCAGUACCUGCAAGAGGCAGUGGAGGUGGGAGAAAAAGGGACCUGCCCAGUCCUCAAGCAGUUCACAGCCCACUGGGAUGACAGGUGUGCAAGGCAUCCAGGUAGGAGCUCCAGGUGAAAAAUGGCAGGUGCCCUAGGACCACAAAGCAGAGAGAAAUGAUUCAGCUGAAGGUGAGGCAGGGUGUGAAAGGUUCCAGGAGAAGGGAAAAUCUGAGCCUGUUUCAAAGGACGGCUCAGGAAAAGGCAGGCUGGGAUGGCUCAAUUUCAGGCUGCUGGGACAGCCACACAGCGACAGCAUCCUGAAACAUCACAGAGCAUUCCACGAACUCUGGGCAGGCUGGGGUCACUGGAGCAUGAAGCAUGAGGCAGGAGUGAUGGAGGAUGAGGAAGGAGAUGAGAGCUCAUCAGGAGCAUGCAUGUUUAGAUGUAAACUGCCUUCGGAGCAUCAGUUAUGAUUCAUUUGCCCUGAUGGAGAGAUGGAGGUUCAGUGACGCAUAGCAAGCCAUCAGCCUUGGUGCAGCCGCAUGGGGACCCGAUCGUUGCCCCUCCCAGGCAGGGAAGCACAGCCCAUUGAGGCUGUUUCUAUAAAAAGCACGACUCUUAACUCCUUGCUAGGAGCUUUUGGUGCUAGGAUUCCUGUUGGAAUCCCAGUGCCCUUCUCCUAGGAAUGAAUGGGAAGAGUUGGGGAGCAGACUGCUUGCCAGGAGAGCUGGUCUGUGGUCCUGUUCUCUGGUCUCUGGUCCUGUUCCAGCCGUUCAUUCACUGGGUCAUCUUAGAUGAGUCUCUUCUCAUUGCUGCCUAUAAAGUGAAAUUGGGCAGAAAAUCUGAAGACCACUGUAGAUUGUUCCAUUUUAGGAAGGUGUCUCCUGGUGCAUCAACGCAUGAAUGGAAGCAGUGCUGGGAGAGGGAAGCUGCAGACCCCCCAGGCUUCCUUUAUGUGCCAGGCCUCCCUUUACAUGCUCUUGCCAGCUUGGCAAAAUUCCCUUCCUGCCGUGUCCUUGGACAAGCCCUAAACACCAGGUAGCAAAGUGCAGGCAACGUCCCUCAGCGUGAGCCCCGUCCUCGGCUCCACAGCUUCCAGCCAGGAUAGAUCCCCAGGUCACAGGCCCUUGAACAGAAAUCAGUCUAUUCAGAAACAUUUUGGAAAUUAAGACCAGGCCCUGGCUCCUCGGGGAGGAGUGAGAAGCCCGUGGGGUCUGCGGCCUCUUUCUCACGAGCUGCCUCCAUUCACAAACUAAUGUGCCAAGAGAUAACUUGCUAAAGCGGAACGGCCUAGAGUUCCACUAGAGAUCCCACGGUGGUCUUCAGAUCUUCUGCCUAAUUUUGCUGGAACUCCAGAUUCAGAGGCAGGCAGGACUGGACAUGGAAUCCUGGACUCCCAGCUGCACUCUGGUGAGAAGAUGCUGGGGCUUCAUCCCUGAGCUUCCCCUCCCUUGUGUGCAGAUCCUAUGCCCACACAGCUACCCCGUGCCUCACACCCAUUGAUGGCUUCACACUGUUCUUAGGACGAAAGCCAGGUGUUGAUUCAGCACUCCAUACACAGUGGUGGCUGCCAUUGGGAUUCUUUGGAGAGCGGCCCCAGGCAUCUCCCUCAACCUCACUGGCCCUCAGUCUUCUGUGCUAGGAGGCAAGGAAGACUUGGUUCCUGCGUAUUCCUCCAGGUACGUUUCUGUCACUUUCAAUCAAUGGAGUUUGAGAAAUACAUGCAAAUGAUGAUGAGAAGAGAAGAGAUGCAGAAGGAUGGAUUCCCAUCUGAGUGGGCAGCCUGACUCCAGGGCUGGCAUGCAGCUGUGUGUCCAUCCACUGGUCCACUGGCAGGUGCACUCUGCCUCCUCCCACUCUGCUGUGUCUUGCAGGGUGGCUCAGGGCUGCACUCCAGUCCCCCCAUGUCUGCUGGCUUCCAGCUGGUUCAGCCAAUAAGGGACCCUGGGGACAAGCAGAGGUAGGAGGAAGGGAGGAGCCAGGGUGUUUUCUCUCCUCCUCCUCCUCGGCCACAGGCACUGUCUCCCCUGCAGCACCAGUGCCCCAGCAACCAGGGCCCUGAUAAGCACAUCCGCAGGGUGACCCUUCACUGCCUCCUCCCUCUGCCCCAGCUCUGGCUGGUGUGACGGAGGAGGCCUUCGCUCCCGCUCACCUGUGGGUUUCUCCCUGUCCCUCGGUCCGUUUCUUAGCAAAGCCAUCAAAUAUGUAGCCAAUUCCCUGCAUUAAAUUCUCUCUGUUUUCAGUAUUCAGAAUGUUUUCUCCUUUUCCUGUUUGGACUCAUACCAAUACAAACAGCAAGUAGGUUUCCACUUAUGUCUUAGGAAUAGGAAGCACAGAAACAGCGAGGGAACAAAAAUAAAUUCAGAGCUACGGGAGCCAGUGUGAGGCUAGACCAUGCAGGGCCUUACUCACCACAGGGGUGAGUGUGAGGCUAGACCAGGCAGGGCCUUACUCACCACAGGGGUGAGUGUGAGGCUAGACCAGGCAGGGCCUUACUCACCGCAGGGGUGAGUGUGAGGCUAGACCAGGCAGGGCCUUACUCACCGCAGGGGUGAGUGUGAGGCUAGACCAGGCAGGGCCUUACUCACCGCAGGGGUGAGUGUGAGGCUAGACCAGGCAGGGCCUUACUCACCGCAGGGGUGAGUGUGAGGCUAGACCAGGCAGGGCCUUACUCACCGCAGGGGUGAGUGUGAGGCUAGACCAGGCAGGGCCUUACUCACCGCAGGGGUGAGUGUGAGGCUAGACCAGGCAGGGCCUUACUCACCGCAGGGGUGAGUGUGAGGCUAGACCAGGCAGGGCCUUACCACAGGGAUGAGUGUGAGGCUAGACCAGGCAGGGUCUUAUGUGCCACAGGGGUGAGUGCGAGGCUAGACCAGGCAGGGUCUUACUCACCACAGGGGUGAGUGUGAGGCUAGACCAGGCAGGGUCUUAUGUGCCACAGGGGUGAGUGUGAGGCUAGACCAGGCAGGGUCUUAUGUGCCACAGGGGUCAGUAUGAGGCUAGACCAGGCAGGGUUGUACUCACCACAGGGGUUAGUGUGAGGCUAGACCAGGCAGGGCCUUACCACAGGGGUGAGUGUGAGCCCAGACCAGGCAGGGCCUUCCUCACCACAGGGGUGAGUGUGAGGCUAGACCAGGCAGGGCCUUACUCACCACAGGGGUGAGUGUGAGGCUAGACCAGGCAGGGCCUUCCUCACCACAGGGGUGAGUGUGAGGCUAGACCAGGCAGGGUCUUAUGUGCCACAGGGGUGAGUGUGAGGCUAGACCAGGCGGGGUCUUAUGUGCCACAGGAGGAGUUUGGGUACCAACUUGACGCAGUGGGGGCCCCUGGUCAGAGGGCUGGGUAGCACCACCAGACAGUCCUCAGGAGGGGUCACGUGUGACAGGAUCUAGGACACAUCCUGAAGUGAGGACCUGACUUCUACAGGCCAGCAUGUGCUGUGGGCUUGGAGAAAUGUGAUCCAAAACUUCCGGGGGUUCCUUCUCACUAACUUGUGGAUUUCAAAGGCCAAUCUUGGAGGAACUCUUCGGGGGCUCUUUCAGCUCCUCAAGUGAAACAGAACACUGUAUUAGGAUUUGGGUGACUCCAGGAGCCAGCGAGGCGGAGGGGCCAGGGACUUCGGCGGAGGCAGCAACAAAGAGCCCAGUGACCCAGCAAAGCCUGAAGCAGCCCAGACAUGAAAGGCAUAUGCUGGAAAAAUUAGCUCAGUGUUUGCUUUGGGAACCAGUCUGACGGCUCUUAAUCCAGUGGGCGUUAUAUAUUCCAACUCACGGGAUGUCCCAGAUCUCUCGGCGGGACGACAAAGCGCCAUUUGUGAGGUUUCAUCCAUGCCCUGGAGGGCGCCUGCCACCCGGCCACUCACUCCCAGCAGCAGAGCGGAGCUAGAGCAGCCAUGGGCCUGCUGUCCAUGGACGGUCAGCCUUCUCCUCGAGGCCUGUGCCAUGGCUGGUUUUGUGUUGACCUUUCCCUCUUACCCACUUUAGAGAGACGAAAGGACUAUAGAAGUCACCAGCCG